UAUUUAUAUUAUCCCAUUUAACAUGAAUACUAAUAAUAAUUAAGUUUAAUAUUGUUAUGGAAAAGAAUCAGGUUUAUCCAAAAUUAAAUAAAUAAACAGCAUGAUUAGUUUGACUCGUGAAACUAUUCCUUUUAUUUUUUACAACAAUUUAUUUACGGUUAGGAUAUUUCCAUUUUAUUACAUGUGCUGGAAAAAAAAAAUAUCGAUUUGCCAAAGAAAAAAAAAAAGAAUUUUUAACGAAUGCGAGCAGUACAAGUAAAUAAUUGGUGAAAUGUGAAAAUAGGGUAUCUUCUAGGUUCUCUUCAUCUUCUUUACUUGCUUUCCAAUGCCCUUUUACGAUUAUACACAUAUUAUAUGUUUAUUUUCGUAUACUAGAAAAAAACGAAGUUAAAACAAGUUUAUGCUGAUGCGUGGCCAUCUUAGAUGAUAAUCAUGAUUAAUAAAUAAUUUUAAACGAAGAUUAUUUAUUUAGUGCUGGGAUGUUUAUUGUGCUUUGUUAAAUACGUACUGAUUUAUCAAAUGAUUUAUUUGUAUUGCAAUGAUUUUGGUGGUAUGCUACAGCUUUAAAUUUACUUGGAACGUGCUAUAGUUACUGUAAAAAUUAAUAAGAUUAAAUGUUCUAGCUAGAGAGUUUCAAUAUUUUGACAUAGAAAUAAAUAUACCAAGUAGUUAAUGAUAUGAGGUCAAAAAUUGUUGUUUACAGCGACUAAUACUCUGUAUAUAGUAAUCAUAUAAAAAUAAAACCGAACAUGUCGUCACUUCGUCUAAAAGGAUAUAUAUAUAUAUAUAUAUUAUAUCAUUUGUCCAAUUGAUUACGCAUUCUUUUUUGUUUAACACGUUUUUUUUGUUAGACCUAAUUUUUGUUUUCUUUGUUUUGGUUUAAUUUUGAUAAUUAGGCCUCAGUUUUAUCUACAAAUACUAUAAAAUUAAAAUAAAGCUGUAAUUUAAUAGAAUUAUUGACAGCAAAACAAAACGUGGGUCCCGCCAAAAAUCUUCUCUUCUUUUUUUCUUUUUCUCUAAAAUAAAAUCUAAUCUCGUUGGCUUACUGUAAAUGUGGGAAUAACUUUUUCAGUUUUCUUUUGUAUUCUGAGGAAUUAUAAGUUUUUAGACUUCUUCUAUCAAAUCUUUGGAUUGGUGCCUAAAGUUAUCAACAAGUAGGCUUUUUAUAUUAUUUUUUAAAAACCGUAAUAUAGAACAAAGGUAUACAAUAAAGUUUUUUUUUUUUGUAAAGGAGAGAAAUCUAUAACAAAACAUGAAAUCAUCAUCAUACACAGUAAGUUGAGUAAUGUCUCUCAAACCUCGUGAGUGGUUAUAAAACUUAAAAAUGUUUUGAAGUAGUAUGUAUGAAAAGUGUUUUAUAAAUGCUACUAUGCUAGCUAGAGUUGAAUUUCCAAAGAUGUUUGUUUUGGUAUCAAAGAGGGUCCAGCACACAUUUGUUAUAUAUAUUUAAAUAAAACAAGAAUAUGAAGAAACGGCACCUUAAAGGAGUAACAAAAUAAUUAUUACUUUUUCUUACGAUCGACAUGACCAAACAAAACUCUUUUAAAAGUUCGUAAUUCUUGUAAAUUUAUGUUACAUUAAAAAUGCUUCAGAACUACUAUCGAAUUCUAUCUUUUAGAAUUAUUGUGGGGGAGUAUUCUCACCCAAAAAAAAAAAAAAACAUUUUAAAAAAAAGUUUGGUAAACGGGUAAAAAAAAAAAAGGGAACUAAACUAGGGGUGUUUCGCCUGUUGUGUGGCAUUGGAAUCAUUAUGUUUUGUCUCUUAUGUCACAAACCCACAUGGUUAAUACCGUAUUGGUAAUAUUAUUUUAGGUAACCAUCGGCAAAUUUAUGACAAUGUCUCUUUUUUUACCCUAUUUUUAUUCCAACAAUACUACUGUCGUAAUAAAAAUGCAACCCAAUCAUAAUACAUAGUAGAGAUCGUACAUGGGCUUAUCGUGUAAUAUUUUUUCCAAAAUGAAUUUGAAUACUACAAAAUCAAUAAAAGAAACAAAAAAUGAUUCGAAGACACUCUUUAUAUAAAUAAUAGAUCGAAGGGAGCCCUAUAAUAUUAUAUGCAUGUAUCAACAAAUAGAUAGUUAAAUAUAUAAUGGGGUUCAAGAUAAGUUUGGGAUAUAUAAUAGACCUUAAAAGUGGUCCAAAGUAUACUUUCGGAAAUGUCACUCUCAUCAGAACAACUAAAGAAAAGAAAAAAAUGUUAAAACAAAAUAUCGAAAAGAAAAAAAGAUCAAAAAAAGAGUUAUGAAAAACAAACUGAGUCCAUUAGUCAAGGGUCCUAUCAUAGUUCUUAUGGGGUAUGUCCCACCAAAUUGAUUUCCUUGCGAAUCAAAAAUUGCAACACAAAUAAUUAAUAAAUCUUCUAUAAAAUAUAUACACAUGCAACUAUCAAUUUUUCUACCAAACAAUAUUAUAUUAAUUAUACUUCCGAAUCAUACAUAAUAAAACUAAAACACGUAUUUUUAUUAUCAAACAUAUACCAAAGUUUUAAGGAAAUAUGAUGGUUAGAAAUUAUAGAAUUACGUAUGAGAUAAAUUAUUUUAUGUUUUUUUUUUGGUAGUAUAAAUUAUGUUAUGUUGACAGUCUCAUUAACUCAUUAUUAUGCAUAUAUUGGUUGGAAAUAGAUUUAUCACUUUGACAUUAUAAAAAAAAAUAAUAUAUUAUUGAAAUUGAAAAGAAAAAAAAAAGUAAAACUAUUUGCCACUCGUCUCCCACUAGCUCUUCUCUCUAUUCUCUUUUUACCCAAAAAAUAUAUAUAUUUAUAGUUUUUAAAAUACGCUCUCUCUGUCUUUAACGUCAAUUUAUUAAUCUCUAUACGUAAGAGGAGUAUUAUUUUAUUAAAUGAGAAUUGAAUAACUUUUGCUCAUGAGUUUGUGUUUAUACAAUAAAGAUAUGUAUAUAGUCCCUUUCGAAAAGCAUCAAAGAAAGAAAGAACGUAGACAAAAAAAAACACCACACACACAACAAAGCAAUCAAUUAAACUCUUAAUUAUCGUAUUCUAUAGCCUGAUAAAGUAGAUUCCAUAUAAAAUCUAUAUAGCUAAUCCCAGAUCUGUUUUAAUUCCUUCUUUUUUCUUCAAGACUACUAUAUUAUGUGUUUUCCAUCAAAUUAUAUCUUUAGUGAUGGAUUAAAAAAUGACAAAAAUUUUGGUCUUAAUAAACGAAAUUUACAAAAAAAAAAAGAAGUUAAACCAUCUAACGAAUUCAUAAGGCUAGAAUAAUUUCAUGAUCAUAUAUAAUCAACCUGUGUGAGUAUCUUAAAUAGUAAAAAUAUCUUGCACUUUCGUGUAUUAUUGAUUAGAUAUAUGAUUUGAAUAUAUAACUAUUGAAUGUGUGUGUGUCCAUAAAAUACUAAGCAAAGAACUAUAUCCAUAUAUUUUGCUUUUUGUUCUUUUCCCUUGAAUAAGACUGAUGAUGAUAAGCCCAUUUCCAAAUAUACAAUUUGGGCCUAAAUCACACCACAGAAACAAAACAAAAGUUGUUCCUCAAUUGCCAACUUGCCAUUGUAAGUAGCUUUCUAAUAAUACUAAUAGCAUAACUAAUUAAUUAUACUGAUUUACACACAAACCAGCGAGAGACACUGAUGGUGUAAUAUGUCAAGUGUGCUACUUUACAAUUUGUUAUGCCAUAAGAAUCUAAUUUUCUAACCACAAUACGUUUAAUAAGUGCCAUUACAUUGAGAUUAAUAACAAACAUACAGUAUAUAAGAAUAAACAAAGUAAUUACUAGUACAUUUGCAAGACAUCGUUUUUACAUCGUAUGUAAUGUACGGAUGGUUGGUUGGUUGGUUCCUGAGAUGCUACUUGGAAUCUGAAAGGGCCAAUCACCGAAUUUGGUCGACAAAGACGAGAGAAAAAAGGAAGAAAGAAGAUGCUCUCUCUCUCUCUCUCUUUCUUCUCCAAUGGACAAUUUUGGGAGUGUGAAGAAUAAAUUAAAUAAUAGUAAUAAAAAUGGGGAAUGGCAGAAGAGUGUAAAUAAGGUGUAAGUAGGUGGGUUUGUUUUGUCUAGAGACUAGAGAAAACUUGCUAAAGGUUCGUGGACAACUGAACAUAGAGAUAAAUCGUGUUAUGGGGAUUUGAGAGCGAAGAGAGAAUACUGGUAAUGUUUAAGUGUUAUUUUCCCUUUAUAUCCUUUGAUCCUUCUGAUAUCAUUUUCCUACUAUAAUUUUCUAACCAAACAAAAAUACUUUCCCAUCUAGAAUCGAUGAUCUUUUAAUCUUAUAUUUUUUUCAAAAUUAUAUUAUUUUCUCAUAAAUUUAUACAAACUAAACAAUUUAUAUCAUACAAAUGAUUUUUUAUUUGUUGAAUUGUGUUUAUAUAGACAUUAAAUAAUUUAUUUAUUUAAAAAUAAGCAAAAUUUAAUAACUUCUUAAUUAAUGUAUGUUUUCUUAAAAAAAAAAAAUUUCUAAAACUGCGAGAAUAGCAAAUUAUUUGUACACACAUUUUAUCUGUAUAUCUUACACAACAUUAAUACACUGAUUAAUUUUGUCAGCUUAGAAAAUCUUGUUGUGCUAGGAAAUACUACUAGAAAGUUUUCUUUUUAGAUUAGGUUGUCCUUGUGAUAUAGCCUCUCUGACCUAUGAUUGCUCUUUGCUUGGAUCCUAUAAAUAUACAGUUAUAGGCAGUAUCAAUGUAUUAAAUCAUGUACUGUAUAUAUAUAUAUAUAUAUUAAUUUACAAGUAUUUUUCAAUUUAAAUUAGUAGAAAAUAAAAGAAGUAUAAAUUGCUUUGUAUAUACGGUAUUUUAUUUAUGGAACAUAUUUGAUCCAAUCAUGUUAUUAUAAGGCGUCGUAGUAGGUGGACGACGCUAUGCAAAGGUUUUUCAGUUUUUUACACGCUAUGUAAAGUUACUUUUCGACAUCUGUUUAUCUUCUUCUUCUUUUUUUUUUUUUUUUGGUUUUUACUUUCUUUAAUAGUUUUGUUUUAGAGACGUUCUAGAUGUCUUAAUAAAUAUUAAAUGUUAAAUAUAUAAUCUGAUCUACAAAGCUUUUCAUAUCAUAAAUUUUCCACUAAGAUCAAUUUAAUAAUACGCGUUACAUUGUUUGUUUGUUUUGUCGCUAUACACACACAUGUUUCAGAACAAACAAAUACUUUUUUUUUUCCUUUUUUGUUAAGAAAGCUUUGAUGAUUAAAUUGUUGACAAACAGUCAGAGUCUUUCUUGUCAACAAAUUCAUCAAAAAAACUAUAUAAUCCGAAAUUCACAAUGUUAUUAAUUAACUUUUUUAAUCAGAUGUUUUUUUCUCUCGUAAUUAGCUUAUAAGUAAUUAAUUACUUAUAUAUAUAUAUAUAUUUAAAAUGUGUUCUAUAAUGUUAUCAAAAGAGUGACCCUACGAAAAUGGGGGAGUCCACAAGAAUCAAAUAAGGGACCCAAGAAAGACUCGACCACCAAUCACCUGUGAUCACUCACAUACUUAAAACCUAUGAUCUUUGUUUGCCUUAACGGCAGGUGUCAUCUUGAAUCUCGAUCCCAUCACUCUCAGAGAUUGAGAUACCUUUCUCACUCAUGUACCCCACCCACCUCUGCACCAGUCUUGCUCAGUCGACAAUUUUAAGCUGCCCGUACUCGACAAAAGCUCAAGAAUACACAUUUACAAUGAUCCCGUUAAGCUGCCUGCCUCUAAAAAGGCCCAAAGGGCCUUACUCCCACAAACACAUAGGUCACGUGAUCUGAACGGUGGGAGAAACGCUUUCUUUUACACUUUAAAGCCUAUUAAACACACUAGAAAGGGCCUUAAAGCCCAUAUUAAAACGCCUUUCCUUUUUGCGCUUUUUCCGAUCGUCGUCACUCGUCACCUAUCGCAAGAUCCUCCUCGUCGAAGCUCUCUGCUGGAAAGCAAAGCAACCAUGUCCAACGAGGAGCAUCAUCUUGAGUCCAGCGACGCCGGAGCUUCCAUAAUCAACCAUGGCGUUUAUAGGGGUUGUCACUGAUUUAUGAACCUUUUCUAUUAUAAUUUAUGUGACCCUCUCAAUCUCUUUGUCAUGAGCUUCUUCUUCUUCAUCUUCUUCUUAUAUGUUCUUUUUAGAGUCUUUCUUUACUCAGAGACUAUCUUGUUUUUGGGUUUCUCUAGCUGCUUUGGGAUAUUUAAAAUGUUAGUUAUUAUAAAUGUCAUCUUCACGUCUGUAACCUUUGUCCUUUCAUGUUUUUGGCUGCCCCCAAAUGUGAACGAGUUCCACCCAUGAAUCUAACCUUUUAUGCGC
rnacentral:lncRNA from 1 species